CAGCCGCCGCGGUAAUACGAAGGGGGCUAGCGUUGUUCGGAUUUACUGGGCGUAAAGGGCGCGUAGGCGGGCGAAUAAGUCAGGGGUGAAAUCCCAAGGCUCAACCUUGGAACUGCCUUUGAUACUGUUUGUCUUGAGUCCGGGAGAGGUGAGUGGAACUGCGAGUGUAGGGGUGAAAUUCGUAGAUAUUCGCAAGAACACCAGUGGCGAAGGCGGCUCACUGGUCCGGAACUGACGCUGAGGUGCGAAAGCGUGGGGAGCAAACAGGAUUAGAGACCCCGGUAGUCCCUGUCUCUUAUAC
rnacentral:rRNA from 1 species